rnacentral:tRNA from 2 species
GGGGUGUAGCUCAGCUGGUUAGAGCGCUGGCCUGUCACGCCAGAGGCCGCGGGUUCGAGUCCCGUCACUCC